rnacentral:tRNA from 1 species
GAAGUAGCGCAGUUUGGUAGCGCGCUUGCUUCGGGAGCAAGAAGUCAUGGGUUCAAAUCCCAUCUUU